rnacentral:rRNA from 1 species
UCAAUAAGCGGAGGAAAAGAAACCAACAGGGAUUGCCCUAGUAACGGCGAGUGAAGCGGCAACAGCUCAAAUUUGAAAUCUGGCGCUUUCAGCGUCCGAGUUGUAAUUUGCAGAGGGCGCUUUGGUGUUGGCAGCGGUCCAAGUUCCUUGGAACAGGACGUCACAGAGGGUGAGAAUCCCGUACGUGGUCGCUAGCCUUCGCCGUGUAAAGCCCCUUCGACGAGUCGAGUUGUUUGGGAAUGCAGCUCUAAAUGGGAGGUAAAUUUCUUCUAAAGCUAAAUACUGGCCAGAGACCGAUAGCGCACAAGUAGAGUGAUCGAAAGAUGAAAAGCACUUUGGAAAGAGAGUCAAAUAGCACGUGAAAUUGUUGAAAGGGAAGCGCUUGCAGCCAGACUUGCCUGUAGUUGCUUAUCCGGACUUUUGUCCGGUGCACUCUUCUGCGGGCAGGCCAGCAUCAGUUUGGGCGGUUGGAUAAAGGUCUCUGUCAUGUACCUCUCUUCGGGGAGAACUUAUAGGGGAGACGACAUGCAACCAGCCUGGACUGAGGUCCGCGCAUCUGCUAGGAUGCUGGCGUAAUGGCUGUAAGCGGCCCGUCUUGAAACACGGACCAAGGAGUCUAACAUCUAUGCGAGUGUUUGGGUGUCAAGCCCAGACGCGUAAUGAAAGUGAACGGAGGUGGGAACCCUUUGGGUGCACCAUCGACCGAUCCUGAUGUCUUCGGAUGGAUUUGAGUAAGAGCAUGGCUGUUGGGACCCGAAAGAUGGUGAACUAUGCUUGAAUAGGGUGAAGCCAGAGGAAACUCUGGUGGAGGCUCGCAGCGGUUCUGACGUGCAAAUCGAUCGUCAAAUUUGGGCAUAGGGGCGAAAGACUAAUCGAACUAUCUAGUAGCUGGUCCUG